UACAGAGGGUGCAAGCGUUAAUCGGAAUUACUGUGCGUAAAGCGUGCGUAGACGGUUACGUAAGUUAGGUGUGAAAGCCCCGGGCUCAACCUGGGAAUUGCAUUUAAGACUGCGUAGCUAGGGUGCGGAAGAGGGAAGCGGAAUUUCCGGUGUAGCGGUGAAAUGCGUAGAUAUCGGAAGGAACAUCAGUGGCGAAAGCGGCUUCCUGGUCCAGCACCGACGUUCAGGCACGAAAGCGUGGGGAGCAAACAGG
rnacentral:rRNA from 1 species